rnacentral:rRNA from 1 species
GUGGGGAAUUUUGCGCAAUGGGGGAAACCCUGACGCAGCAACGCCGCGUGAGUGAUGAAGGCCUUCGGGUCGUAAAGCUCUGUCAGAGGGAAAGAAAUGCGGGAGGGUUAAUACCCCUUUUGCUUGACGGUACCCUCAAAGGAAGCACCGGCUAACUCCGUGCCAGCAGCCGCGGUAAUACGGAGGGUGCGAGCGUUGUUCGGAAUUAUUGGGCGUAAAGCGCGUGUAGGCGGUCUUUUAAGUCUGAUGUGAAAGCCCCGGGCUCAACCUGGGAAGUGCAUUGGAAACUGGGAGACUUGAAUACGGGAGAGGGUAGUGGAAUUCCUAGUGUAGGAGUGAAAUCCGUAGAUAUUAGGAGGAACACCGGUGGCGAAGGCGGCUACCUGGACCGAUAUUGACGCUGAGACGCGAAAGCGUGGGGAGCAAACAGGAUUAGAUACCCCAGUAGUCC